GACGAACGCUGGCGGCGUGCUUAACACAUGCAAGUCGAACGGAAAGGCCCUGCUUUUGUGGGGUGCUCGAGUGGCGAACGGGUGAGUAACACGUGAGUAACCUGCCCACAACUUUGGGAUAACGCUAGGAAACUGGUGCUAAUACUGGAUAUGUGCUCCUGCUGCAUGGUGGGGGUUGGAAAGCUCCGGCGGUUGUGGAUGGACUCGCGGCCUAUCAGCUUGUUGGUGGGGUAGUGGCCUACCAAGGCGGCGACGGGUAGCCGGCCUGAGAGGGUGACCGGCCACAUUGGGACUGAGAUACGGCCCAGACUCCUACGGGAGGCAGCAGUGGGGAAUAUUGCACAAUGGGCGCAAGCCUGAUGCAGCAACGCCGCGGGCGGGAUGACGGCCUUCGGGUUGUAAACCGCUUUCAGCAGGGACGAAGCUUUUUGUGACGGUACCUGCAGAAGAAGCACCGGCUAACUACGUG
rnacentral:rRNA from 1 species